rnacentral:lncRNA from 1 species
AUGCAGUGGGGACGCCGUGCCUAGCUACGUCGUCGGUAUUUGCUCUUGUAUUCUUGUAAUGUGUUUGGUGUUGUUGUGCACGUGAUUGCUGUUUGUUUUCUUUGUACGUGUGGCUGUCGGGUCUAGAUCUCGGCUCUUGUGUGUGUUGUCCUGCUACGUCAGUUCUGUGGUGGUAAAUUAAUUUGGAUUGUAUCUUGCAUGUUUCAACUAUAUAUUUGUUGGCUGCAUAUUUCAAUUAUGUGAUGUUGGAAUUAUGUGAAUUGCUCCAAUGUGCCAUUGGUUACCAUUGCUUGAUCGGUGAAAUACAAGGUAAAUAUGUCAUGCGUCGUAGUUACUCUGUUUUGCAGAACUAGCCUCUGUUUGUGCGUCUAGAUUUAUAAAUAUUACUGCAUUUGGUGUUGUUUUUCUUUUCUAUUUAUUUGACUCCACUGUAAAGAAUUGUUUUAUUGUAUUCAUAGCAACUUUACUAGUUACAGCGAUUCAAAUUUUAUUAAAUUGUUGCCCCUAAAAGGAGAAUAUGAUGUCAGAAACACUAGCAAAACACGGGCAUCCGAGGGAGUAUAGACUACCCACUAGGGCUAACGUGCACUUCACUGCACCGUUCUUCGUUCCUGGGAUUAACUCUUCACUAGUGCAGAAACCCUUUAUAGGAUUUUUCUACUAGCAAUGUAUGGAUAAAAUGAGACGGGUGCUAAUUUGACAAAAUACCAACAACGUUCACGAAAAUAGUACACGCUGCUAAUAACAUCUUAUUAUCCGCAUGUGACACCAGCGCACGCUGCUAGUAAGGGGCACCCAGGAAGCCCUUCAUCUCGAAUAUCCUAGCAGCGGGUAGCGCGGUGAACGUUGCUAAUAUAGAAAGAACUAGUGGCGCAUGCAGAAAUUCGAGACACCACUAAUACGUAGUGUGGACCCCUUGUGUUUGAAUUAUCCAAUACAAAUGUUCAAUUUUUUAACUAAUUUCAUCAAAUAUAACUGGAACACAAAAGUCCUGUAAUUGUAUUUGAAAUCCUAAAAUGCCACUCUGCAUGAGUGAGAUGCCACCGCGUGCAGUGGGGGGCGACGUGCCUACGCCGUCGGUAUUUGCUCUUGUAUUCUUGUAUGUGUUUUGUGACCUGGUGAUUGUUGUUUGUUUUCUUUGUACGUGUGGCUGUUGGGUCUGGAUCUCGGCUCUUGUACUAUGUAUUGUGUUGUUACGUCAGUUUUGCGGCAGUAAACUAAUUUGGACGGUAUCUUGCAUGUUUCAAUUAUAUAUAUUUUCGGCUGCCUGUUUCAAUUAUAUGAUGUUGUAAUUAUGUGGAUUGCUACAAUGUUCCAUUUGUUACCAUUGCUUGAUCAGUGAAAUACGG